rnacentral:rRNA from 1 species
UGCCAGCAGCCGCUGUACGACAGGAGUAGCAAUUGUUAUUCAGAAUUAUUGGGCGUAAAGGGCAUGUAGGUGGAUGAUUGGAGUUGAUUGUGCCAUUCCAAUGGGAUGCAUUGGGUUUGCAAUCAAUACUCUUCAUCUUGAGGUCAAAAGAGGAAAAUAGAAUUUCUAGUGGAGAGGUUAAAUUCUUAGAGAUUAGAAGGAAUAUCUAAAGCGAAGGCAAUUUUCUGGUUUGAACCUGACACUGAGGUGCGAAAGCGUGGGGAGCAAACAGGAUUAGAUA